rnacentral:rRNA from 1 species
GUAGGGAAUAUUGCGCAAUGGGGGAAACCCUGACGCAGCAACGCCGCGUGGAUGAUGAAGCUCCUUGGAGUGUAAAAUCCUGUCGCCGGGGAAGAAACGGUGGGUGAGGAAAUGCAUCCGCCCUGACGGUACCCGGAGAGGAAGUUCCGGCUAACUCCGUGCCAGCAGCCGCGGUAACACGGGGGGAACGAGCGUUGUUCGGAUUUACUGGGCGUAAAGGGUGCGUAGGCGGAUGGGCAAGUCGGAUGUGAAAGGCCACGGCUUAACCGUGGACCGGCAUUCGAAACUGCUCGUCUGGAGUACAGGAGAGGAGAGUGGAAUUCCAGGUGUAGCGGUGAAAUGCGUAGAUAUCUGGAGGAACACCGUUGGCGAAGGCGGCUCUCUGGACUGAUACUGACGCUGAGGCACGAAGGCCGGGGGAGCAAACAGGAUUAGAUACCCCGGUAGUCC